ensembl:ncRNA lncRNA:CR44675 long non-coding RNA:CR44675
AGUCAGUGUUAUGUUUUCAUCAAGUGCUCAUAUUUAGCACCCAGUGCUCCAAUUGCUCCAAUGUUCGCUGGCAGCUCUAUGUUCUAUGCACGCACUUCCAUCCACCGACUGAAUGUGUUAUCCACCCACUUUCCGCCUGGUAAUAUGUUAAUAGCACUAUGCGUCACUUGCAUCCUGGCACAUUGCAAUCCGUCCGCGUGGGUGGAUGUCUUUUCGUCCGACUUAAGUCUGCCAACUGUCUGCUUUCCUCCAUGGACAAUAUGGUCGCUGCCUGGUGGCUGCCUUGUGGUUUUCUGAUUUAUAACACUGUUUACACGCCCUGCCAAAAAGUUUGAUUUACUGGCCAUUGGACCGGCGGCCACGUGUGCCCAUUCGAUUGCCAUAACUCAUACGACCCGUUGUACUUUCGUUCCUGCUGAGCAAAAGGACUCACGCAUGCGCAGAUGGAAUGUAACCUUAGUUCGCAUUAUAUUAUUAAGAAUGUCUUAG